GGACGCAUCACUGGUGUUCGGGUUGUCAUGCCAAUGGCACUGCCCGGUAGCUAAAUGCGGAAGAGAUAAGUGCUGAAAGCAUCUAAGCACGAAACUUGCCCCGAGAUGAGUUCUCCCUGAGACCUUGAGUCUCCUGAAGGAACGUUGAAGACGACGACGUUGAUAGGUCGGGUGUGUAAGCGCAGCGAUGCGUUGAGCUAACCGAUACUAAUGAACCGUGAGGCUUAACCUUACAACGCCGAAGGUGUUU
rnacentral:rRNA from 1 species